CAUCGUUGAAGGCUCUGCUUCGAUUUCUUCUCGACCUUUUCUUCCGUGUUUCUUUCUCUCUCCCAUAGCAUUUUGCUUCGUUUCGAACCUGGCUUUCUUCCUCUCUCGCACUGCCCCUUUUGUUGCUGUCUAAUGUUUCCGUCUUUGUCUCGGCGCGAUCAUCCACCGCCGUUUUUAUUGCUGGAAUGGUCUUCUGCUCCUGCGAAUUUCUUUGGUUCGAAAGCCUUAGGUGGCUACAAGUUUUUUCCGUUUCGAUUUCAUCGAAAUUCAUUCUUUUCCUCGCGUGAUCUAGCGUUUUCGGGAAACACUGGUCAUACAAUUUUAGAGCUUUUGUGUGCAGCGUUGGUAGCCCUUUGUGCUGAGUGUAUACAAUUUUUGUUUUUCCUUUUUGAGUCUUUUGUUUAAGAUUUUUUUUUUAUUUUUUUGGGUGGCCUUUGGUCUGCAGAUUCAACUUCUGUUUAAAUUUUGGUUUUUUUUUUCUUUUUCUAUUUUUUUUCAAAUUUUGGUUGUUUUGUUUAUGUGUUCAGAUGCCUGAUUUUCCGACAAGGCGAUUCCGGCCGAUGACCAGAGAACUAGACCUCGCUACUAUUGGUGAAGAUAAUACACAUGGUAACAGAGUACUCUUGCACCUCUGAAUAACGGGUCAACAACCCAACUCCAAACUAGCAAGCAACAUACCAUCCAUAACCCUCAUAAAGUCGCAUGGGCCACCACCAGGAAGGCCCCUCCAAACCCUCAGCAUCAGCAUCUUGAUUUCCUUUGAAGUGAAUGCCAAACUGCGGUGUGAUGUUCAAACUUUGUGGCCUUUUGAAAUAGUUGGGAGCAUAAUUCAUUCUACUAUAGAUUGUUCCCCUUUCCAUUUCCAUGAGUGAGUUGGAUAGAUAGUUCAUAGCAUAGGUUUGGUUGCAUAUCUAUUGGAAAAAGAAAAACACGAAGAGGCACAACACACUGAGGAUAAACUUUUUGUCUUCAGGAAGAUGAGGAGACAAAAAGAAGUACAAAGGGAUGGAUUUAGCUUCCACUUUUGAGGUUCCAGGCAUCCAAAAACUGCCGAUUGGUACCCUGGAAUUAACAAUGUAGCUGGAGUUCUCUACUGGCUUAAGCACAGUAGAGAACUCAAGUACAGGUCUCUCUAUUUGUUUCUCAAUCCUGGAACCUCUGGCCUCCGCAAGAAGGAGCAAUUUGAAGGAUUAAAAUGUUGUCAUUUGGAAUAGAUGAUCUUGGUUUAGCAAAUUGAUAGUGAGAUGGAACACCCCUAACUGCGUUGUUUACCGAAGUAGGUGACCUCCAACUUUCGACCGAAUGAAGACAUGAAGAUGGAGAUGAAUUUGACAAGUAGAAUGAAUGCUAGUGCACUCUCUUGUGAAUCUUGGCUUUUGUAGAGAAUGAGAGAGUUUAUGUAAUUAUGUUUCUCCAACCCAAAAUAAUAGCCCAUUUUCUUAAGGUGGAUUUCUAAUGAAUGGAAAUGUGCGUGUAUGUAUAAAGUUAUAAACCACACAUUUUCACUCUCCCUUGCAAUGAAUAUGAUAUUUUGGGUG